rnacentral:rRNA from 1 species
GAGUUUGAUCGUGGCUCAGGAUGAACGCUGGCGGCGUGCUUAACACAUGCAAGUCGAACGAGGAAUUUUAAAUGAGACUUCGGUGGAUUUUAAAAUUCUUAGUGGCGGACGGGUGAGUAACGCGUGGGCAACCUGCCCUGUACAGGGGGGACAACAGCUGGAAACGGCUGCUAAUACCGCAUAAGACCACGGAGCCGCAUGGCUCAGUGGGAAAAACUCCGGUGGUACAGGAUGGGCCCGCGUUGGAUUAGGUAGUUGGUGAGGUAACGGCCCACCAAGCCGACGAUCCAUAGCCGACCUGAGAGGGUGACCGGCCACGUUGGGACUGAGACACGGCCCAAACUCCUACGGGAGGCAGCAGUGGGGAAUCUUCCGCAAUGGGCGAAAGCCUGACGGAGCAACGCCGCGUGAGUGAAGAAUUAUUUCGGUAUGUAAAGCUCUAUCAGCAGGGAAGAAAAUGACGGUACCUGACUAAGAAGCCCCGGCUAACUACGUGCCAGCCGCCGCCGUAAC